GGAUCCGGAGUAUUCAACUGAACUAGCUCUUAGCUUUCAAGAGACGACUGGUUGCUCCUACAUAUGGGACCAUAUAUGUAGCGUGCAAAGGAACAUGCACUUCAGUAGUCUUAACAACGAGACAUUUCAUAGUGUCAACAGUGAUUUGAAGGAGUUACCCCCCAUUGAGCUUUCUACGCUUCCAUUGAUAUUAAAGACGGUUGUAGAGGGUGGCAUUGCUGAUCAGUUGCGUGUUACCGAACUAAUAUUGAACGAUC
rnacentral:misc_RNA from 1 species